rnacentral:lncRNA from 1 species
AUAAGUAAUCUAGAGGUGAUUUGAGUCCACAGGAGGCGGUGCAGAGGUUAUAUGCAAAUAACAUGCCAUUUUGUAUCAGGGACUCCAGCCUUGUGGAUUUUGGUGUUUUGGAGGUCCUGGAUCUCAUCCCCCAAGCGUACAAAGGGACAGCUGUACUUGGGACUGGCAUCAGAAAUGGAGGACACACUUGUGGGACUGAGACCUUAGCCUGCAGGAUCGGAUACUGUCUGCAGGGAGAAAGUGUCACCAUGGAACAGGGCUGGAGGAUGUCCAACGCGUGUCUGCUGGAGACUCGCUUGGUGUUUGGGGAAAAUCCCCACACACAUUUUGGUGACCAGAGUGGAAGUUCCCUGCUUCCGGUCCCUGGAUAGCAAAGGCUACGCCUUGGCCAUCGCUGCUGGAAGAGACACGGCUCAGUGUUGAGUGAAUGUCCUGAGUGUUUUCACUCCGGAGAAUGAAAGGUGCCAACCGUCCUGGGAAAGGUGAGAAGUCAGCGUGGACAGCCUGGGGUCAUCGUCACCACGGAGCUACAGGCCAGCGUCCUCUUCAUGUCCUAGGGCUCGUUUUGCCCCUGGUCCUGCAGGAAAGGGUGGCACCAAUUGACCGACUGACCAUCAGGGAGAAAAACCCACCGAUCCUGUGGGGCUGGUCCCUACAAAUAUGUGCACCUGUUUACUGGAAUUUUCACAGAAUGAUCUCUGGGAAUAUCCACAAGGUCACGCUGUUUGCCCUUUGGAAGCAGAGCCAGGGAACCUGGGCUGGGGGGGAAAUGGACAUUCACCUUCAU